rnacentral:rRNA from 1 species
UUCGCAAUGCCCGAAAGGGUGACGAAGCGACGCCGCGUGCGGGAAGAAGGCCUUCGGGUUGUAAACCGCUGUCGGGAGUUAAGAAAUGUAAGGAUGUUAAUAGCAUCUUUGCUUGACUAAGGCUCCGGAGGAAGCCACGGCUAACUCUGUGCCAGCAGCCGCGGUAAUACAGAGGCGGCAAGCGUUGUUCGGAAUUAUUGGGCGUAAAGAGCACGUAGGCGGCUAUGUAAGUCGGUUGUGAAAGCCUUCCGCUCAACGGGAGAACAGCAUCCGAUACUGCAUGGCUUGAGUGCGGGAGGGGAGAGUGGAACUUCUGGUGGAGCGGUGAAGUGCGUAGAUAUCAGAAGGAACGCCGGCGGCGAAAGCGGCUCUCUGGCCCAUAACUGACGCUGAGUGUGCGAAAGCUAGGGGAGCAAACGGGAUUAGAUACCCCGGUAGUCCUAGCCGUAAACGAUGGGCACUAAGUAGAGGGGUUUU